rnacentral:rRNA from 1 species
GCGAGUGGCGAACGGCUGAGUAACACGUGGAGAACCUGCCCCCUCCCCCGGGAUAGCCGCCCGAAAGGACGGGUAAUACCGGAUACCCCCGGGCGCCGCAUGGCGCCCGGGCUAAAGCCCCGACGGGAGGGGAUGGCUCCGCGGCCCAUCAGGUAGACGGCGGGGUGACGGCCCACCGUGCCGACAACGGGUAGCCGGGUUGAGAGACCGACCGGCCAGAUUGGGACUGAGACACGGCCCAGACUCCUACGGGAGGCAGCAUG